UACGGAGGGUGCAAGCGUUAUCCGGAUUCACUGGGUUUAAAGGGUGCGUAGGCGGGCAGGUAAGUCCGUGGUGAAAUCUCUGAGCUUAACCCGGAGCGGCCAAGUGAUACUGUCGUGCUAGAGUGCGGAAGGGGCUACUGGAAUUCUCGGUGUAGCGGUGAAAUGCGUAGAGAUCGGGAGGAACACCAGUGGCGAAAGCGGCCGACUGGGCCUGUCCUGACGCUGAGGCGCGAAAGCGUGGGGAGCGAACCGG
rnacentral:rRNA from 1 species